rnacentral:rRNA from 1 species
CGCGGCCUACGGGGGGCAGCAGUGAGGAAUAUUGGUCAAUGGCCGGAAGGCUGAACCAGCCAAGCCGCGUGAAGGACGAAGGUGCCAAGCAUUGUAAACUUCUUUUGUCAAGGGACAAAAUCAGGCUCGAGAGCCUGACCGAGGGUACUUGAAGAAAAAGCAUCGGCUAACUCCGUGCCAGCAGCCGCGGUAAUACGGAGGAUGCGAGCGUUAUCCGGAUUUACUGGGUGUAAAGGGUGCGUAGGCGGGUAAGCAAGUCAGAAGUGAAAUCCAUGGGCUUAACCCAUGAACUGCUUUUGAAACUG